rnacentral:rRNA from 1 species
AAGGGAGGCUCGAGGGGGGGGGAAGAAAAAAGGGCUUAAAGCGUUCGUAGCUGGCUUGUUAAGUCUCUGGGGAAAUCUUCCGGCUCAACCGGAAGGCGUCUCAGGGAUACUGGCAGGCUAGGGACCGGAAGAGGUGAGAGGUACUCCAGGGGUAGGAGUGAAAUCCUGUAAUCCUUGGGGGACCACCUGUGGCGAAGGCGUCUCACCAGGACGGCUCCGACAGUGAGGAACGAAAGCUGGGGGAGCAAACCG